GCGGACAUGGAGUGAGCGCGCAGCUGGAAAAUAGAAACAGACGAACGUUUUGGGAGAUAGCCAAUCUAGUUCUAUCUUUUUACAUUGACCUUGGGUUGUUGUAAACAAUUACAACGUUUGUUCAUGUAUAGUUGCUGAAACAUCUAUAUUUUUCACUCAAAGUUAACUUUACGCGUAUUUUUCCUUCUGCGAACACAAAUAGAUAUAGCCUAUUUAUCCAUAGAGCAUCAUCGCAGAAGCUUGAUAGUGCUGAGGUGAGAACACCAGCGGAUGUGAGGAGAUAGUGUUUUUAUAGACUCAACCCCCUUUUCUUUCAAUCAUUCUCUUUCUUUUUGUUUGGUCCAACAAUAGAGAGAGAGAGAGAGAGAAAUAGGGAGAGAGAGAGAGAGAGUCACAGGCAUUGGACCUGCUUUUAUGCCGUCAGUCUUGCGGACCUUGAGAUGGACGUGAGAUUUUAUCCAGCACCCCCUUCAAGCGUGGGCUCAUGUACAUUACCAACUGAUUCAAGUUGCCUAACCUCUUUGGACUAUUAUCACUGCAACAAGAGCAGAUACGGUGCAUCAGACGACCGCAGCGUUCGACUUUAUAGCUCCCUGCCCAUGCGCCCCAACCCCAACGGGAAGAGACUGCCCUCUGCUGGGUUUGAUGGUGACAACAUGUACAUGAAUGAAAAUAACCAGGAGUUUCUCUCCCCAAAUCAG